GCUAAACUAUUUUUGCGAUGUGUUCCUAAUAUGUAAUAUAAAUGUAUUGGGAACAUUUUGCAUUCAUAGUUUUGUAU
ensembl:miRNA MIR450A2 microRNA 450a-2